rnacentral:lncRNA from 1 species
GCAUGAUCACCUUCAGAGGCAUGAUUACCACCAGAGUCUAGAUCAUCAGAAUCUGGAUCAAAAUCAAAUUCACCUUCAGACUCAACUUCAACAUCAGAGUCACCUUAAGUUUUUGAUUCAUCUUCAGAGGCAGAAUCUCCUUUAGAGGAAAAUUAUCCUUCGGAGUCUAAAAUAUCUUCAAAAGUUAACUCAGGUGUUAAC